UAGGUUGAGAAAGUAUAUGAACAGAUACUAUAUUGUAAUAGAGCCAAUAGCAUUCAAAAAAAUAUAUGCUAAUUGAAGUUACAGUUUAUAUUGAUAUGCUUUAGUUAUGCACAUUAUAUAUGUAUUACUUACAAUGUUUUAUGUUUGUAUACUUUAUGUACAAUGUAUAUACUUAGGCAUCAUCAUCUUUUUACCAUAAACCAAUCAAUAAAAGGUUAAGUUUCAUCCACAACCUCAUUAGGGUUAGCACAUUGAUUGAAUUUCCUCAUUUCUAUAUGAUGAACCCCUUUAUAAUUCAACAUAUGAAAAGUACAAACUAACAUUUUGGGUUGACACGAACUGAACUCGUAAUGACGUUUUAGGUAAGAGAAUUAUGUUCCAUCUCUUUCAAAACAAGUACAAAUUAAUCUUAACUUGACUUGCUAAUUAAAAUAAGUUAACACAACAUUAAUCUUAUAGAAAACUAGAUAUAUAGUAAUUAAGCUUGACCAUAACACCAUAUUUAACGGCUGCAAAUU